GUCUAUGGCCAUGCCACCCUGAACAUGCCUGAUCUCGUCUCAUCUCGGAAGCAAAACAGGGUCAGGCCUGAUUAAUACUUGGAUGGGAGACCAUCUAGGAAUACCAGGUACUGUAGGCG
rnacentral:rRNA from 1 species